rnacentral:rRNA from 1 species
UAAGACAGAGGUGCCAAGCGUUAGGCGGAAUCACUGGGCUUAAAGCGUGUGUAGGCGGACUUCUAAGUACCUUGUGAAAUCCCACGGCUCACCCGUGGAACUGCUCGGUAUACUGGUCGUCUUGAGCCACUUAGGGGCUGUCGGAACAGGCGGUGGAGCGGUGAAAUGCGUAGAUAUCGCCUGGAACGCCAACGGUGAAAACAGACAGCUGGGAGUGUGCUGACGCUGAGACACGAAAGCCAGGGGAGCGAACGGGAUUAGAUACCCCGGUAGUCCUGGCCGUAAACGAUGUCGACUAGAUCGUGGAGCCUCUGACGGUCUCACGGUCGAAGCAAAAGUGCUAAGUCGACCGCCUGGGAAGUACGGUCGCAAGGCUA